AGGACGAACGCUGGCGGCGUGCUUAACACAUGCAAGUCGAGCGGAAAGGCCCUUCGGGGUACUCGAGCGGCGAACGGGUGAGUAACACGUGAGCAACCUGCCCUUAGCUUCGGGAUAGCUCCGGGAAACCGGAAUUAAUAGCGAAUAUGACUGCGGCUGACAUCAGCCACGGUGAAAGUUUUUCGGCUAGGGAUGGACUCGCGGCCUAUCAGCUAGUUGGUGAGGUAACGGCCCACCAAGGCGACGAC
rnacentral:rRNA from 1 species